rnacentral:rRNA from 1 species
UACGUAGGGGGCAAGCGUUGUCCGGAAUCAUUGGGCGUAAAGCGCGUGUAGGCGGCCCGAUAAGUCCGCUGUAAAAGUCAACGGCUCAACUGUUGAAAGCCGGUGGAUACUGUCGGGCUAGAGUACGGAAGAGGCAAGUGGAAUUCCUGGUGUAGCGGUGAAAUGCGUAGAUAUCAAGAGGAACACCUGAGGUGAAGACGGGUUGCUGGGCCGACACUGACGCUGAGUGCGCGAAAGCCAGGGGAGCAAACGGG